rnacentral:rRNA from 1 species
GAUGAACGCUAGCGGCAGGCUUAAUACAUGCAAGUCGAGGGGCAGCAUGGUGUAGCAAUACACUGAUGGCGGCCGGCAAACGGGUGCGGAACACGUACGCAACCUACCCAAAACUGAUGAAUAGCCCUCCGAAAGGAGGAUUAAUACAUCGUAACUUAAUGAAGUGGCAUCGCUUUAUUAAUAUAGCUCCGGCGGUUUUGGAUGGGCGUGCGCCUGAUUAGGUAGUUGGCGGGGUAACGGCCCACCAAGCCUACGAUCAGUAACUGGUGUGAGAGCACGACCAGUCACACGGGCACUGAGACACGGGCCCGACUCCUACGGGAGGCAGCAGUAAGGAAUAUUGGUCAAUGGACGCAAGUCUGAACCAGCCAUGCCGCGUGAAGGAUGAAGGUCCUCUGGAUUGUAAACUUCUUUUAUAUGGGACGAAAACUUUGUUUCUACAGAGACUGACGGUACCAUAGGAAUAAGCACCGGCUAACUCCGUGCCAGCAGCCGCCGUAACAC